UUAAACAGUGACCGAAUGCAUUCUUACUAUUUUCUUAUUAUAUGUUGAUGUAAGGAUCGAAAAGGCAGAGGUUGUGAUGGUAUUAAUCGGUUGAUCCUGUUUAGGAAGGGACAGAAAGGCUAUGGCGGAGACGGGAGUACGGUGAAAACGAGGCUCUCCAUGGAGAAAGUAAUGAGAAAAAGAUGGAAAGGAGUGGAAGCCUCCCUUGUUGAACCUUCCUUCUCUCCUUUUUAUCCAUACGCUAGUUGUCUUCCAAAUUGAGGGAGAAGUUAUAGACAUUUAUUCAAGACACAAGUAUGGACAGAGC